UGGGAACGAGAAGACAUUCGUGGAGGCGUC
rnacentral:piRNA from 1 species